rnacentral:rRNA from 1 species
UAGCGGCAGGCUUAACACAUGCAAGUCGAGGGGCAGCGUGGAGUAGCAAUACUCUGACGGCGACCGGCGAAAGGGUGAGUAACGCGUGAGCAACAUGCCCGAUACUGGAGGAUAGUCGAUGGAAACGUCGCGUAAUACUCCGUAACAUAGGGGACCGCAUGAUUCUCUAUUAAUAGAUUUAUCGGUAUCGGAUUGGCUCGCGUACCAUUAGCUAGUUGGCGGGGUAACGGCCCACCAAGGCGACGAUGGUUAGGGGUUCUGAGAGGAAGGUCCCCCACAUUGGAACUGAGACACGGUCCAGACUCCUACGGGAGGCAGCAGUGAGGAAUAUUGGACAAUGGCCGAGAGGCUGAUCCAGCCAUGCCGCGUGCCGGGAGGACGGCCCUAUGGGUUGUAAACCGCUUUUGUUGGGGAGCAAUAAGGGUCACGUGUGACCUGAUGAGAGUACCCAGCGAAUAAGCAUCGGCUAACUCCGUGCCAGCCGCCGC